AAAGGUAUAGCUCAGUGGUAGAGUGCAUGCUUAGCAUGCACGACGUCCUGGGUUCAAUCCCCAGUACCUCCA
rnacentral:tRNA from 1 species